rnacentral:lncRNA from 1 species
CGGUGAGGAAGGCGAGAAGCCAGGCGGAGGUCGAGGUGAUGCGUUGCAUCCUGUGGUUGUUCCACCAGCAUGGGAUGAGAGCCCGCACUUCUUGUACUCCAUCACGUGGUAUAUGUUGUAGGUCAAGAAUAGAGCCACUGGGAUGCAAAAACCUUCAUCCGAUGCCUGCAAAACAACAAAUGUACAAAUCACGAUAUAUCUAUAUUUACAUAUUGAUGUGGAAGAAGAAGACGGUGAUUCCCUUCCGGUGGAGCGCAAAAACAUGACUAUUGAUUUCGCGCCUUGAAUACCGAAGUGGCGACCGCAAAAAAAUCAUGGUAAUCUGAAGAAGGGUUUCGGGGAUAUUUAUGAGUUAGAGGCAAGAAACUUAAGGUGAUAGACCUCCCUAGGCCCCACAUGCCCUCGACUGCAGCUACCGCACUAACGUUGCCCCUCACAAAAAAACCUACUAACUACAUCAUUGCCGCCAGCUAUGAGGGCUUUGUCUGGCGGUGUAUAUUGGCACGAUGGGCUAGAGCACGAUCUUGCCACCGCCCAUGUCGCCCGCAAGGACGACGCAAGGCUAGUUAAGUUUUUUUGGACUCGACAGAAAAAGAUGCGGACAUCAUGUAACAAAUUUUGGGUGUGGCUAGCUCUAAUCGUCACCAUAGAAUUUAUUUGCUAUUUUUUCUCUUUCAGUUCUACUUUGUUUUCCUUUUAUUUUUUAUUCUCAACAUUUUUAUUGUAUUACUUUUAAAAAGAUACGCAAAAUAUAAUUGCACUCAGUCAGUAGGUGUGCACUGUAGUUGUGUGUGGGCGAUGGACAUGCAGUUGUGCACAUGUACACAGGGAUGCAACCGCAAGUGUGCACAACUGAUGGACAUGCUGCUGCGGGAAACCGGUAGACAUGUAAUUUUGUGCAACCAUUGGACAUGUGGUUGCACGCGACUAGUGGACAUGCAACCACAAGUGACCAGUGGGCAUGUAGUUGCACACAACCAACAGGUGAAAAGAAAGUGUAAAGAAAGAAAAAAGGGAAUCCAAAGUAGAGUAAUAAAAAAAAUCAUAAAUCAACUAAAUGAAAAACUGGGAAAAAUCACACGAAGCCCCGCACAAAACCAAAUGGCAUAGGAGUUAGAUAAGACAUUGCUAAGUCUGAUCAAAAUCACGAUCAACAAAUCCAUAUUUCCUUUCAGUUUAGUCAUUUGUUGUGUUUUGAAAGAAUUGGAUCAAACUUUCCUUAACAACAAGCUUUUAAUUACAAAUGUGGUAGGAGUAGUUCUGCACAGAACCGAAAUUACGCUUCAAAUAUUUCGAUGGCCAGCCCCGCCGGUUAGUUCCUUGUGCAGAGGUGCACGAACGCAGCCACAAUCAACCCAGCCUUCACCCUGACACUCCACGGGAUCCCAUACUUUCCACUACUGACAAGCCCUCUCACGAAUGGCCAGAAGCACAACACCAUCCAGCCACAGCACACGAACUCUCCGACGCCCGGGCCACCAUGAACGCCCGCCACCGUCCCGACGACGGCGCGCCAUGCCGCGACGGUGAGGGCGACAAUGUUCAACACUGAGAGCGCCGUCACUGGGAUGAAAACGGGCGCCGAGUCAAAGGUGAACAACCCAGGAUCGGCAUCGUCGGUGCCCGCGCCGCCAUCGGAUGACGUGCUGCUCUCCUUGCGGGUGACCUCGAACACGGUCUCGGAGAGCCCUAGCGUCUUGAGGAUGACGGUGAGGAAGGCGAGGAGCCAGGCGGAGGCCGAGGUGAUGCGUUGCAUCCUAUGGUUGUUCCACCAGGCGCGGACCGAGAGCCCGCACUCCUUGUACUCCAUCAGGUGGUAUAUGUUGUAAGUCAAAAAUAGAGCCGCUGGGAUGUGAAAACCUUCAUCUGAUGCCUGCAAAACGGCAAAUGCACUAAAAUUUCAGCUAUGAGCAAUGUAGUAAUGGGUCAUGGCAAAAAUGUGUGUACC